UUAUGACCUCUCCUACGCUGUGUAUGUGGGGAAAGCUGCGUGUGACUUUUCUUCCAACAGAGAAAGUACAGAUAUUUGAUCGCGGCACACGUGCUCCUGUGUCAGUGCCUCUCGAGACAUCCCCGAGCGUUAAAAACCUCCCUUAGACGUCACUCCUGAUGGAUGGUUACCGAACUAGAGAGACUUGGCACAUCUUUUCUUAGUCCUUGGAUUCCGAUUCAAAACUUGCAGCACAAACCAGGGACCCUAGAGAGUUCUACAGCCCCUUCAGCCACAUGAGGACACAGAAAGAAUAGAGUUUAUGAUUCAAGAAGUAUGUUCUCACCAGACAUGAAAUCUGCCAGUCUCCACCCUGGACAUCCCAGCCUCCAGAACUGCUUGACUGUGGCUGGAGGAUCCUUUUUAAGAAGAUCUGUUCACAUGCCCAGCAAGUUGGAAGAGGAUUCUAUUCCUUGUCAUACAGAUCUCUCCAAAGGCUACCUGAGGAUUCUCAUGACAUGGCAGUUGGUUACACCAAGAGAAAAUGUCUGAAGAAGGAAAAGCAAAAGUUGAUGCUAUGGAUAUAACAGCUGGAGGUAAAAGUACACUUGUCAGCCCCGCAGAAAAAUCAAGAUGGAAAACUGCAAAAGGCAAACCUAAGGGAAGACAGAAGCCCAACAUUCCAGGACUAUUUAGUGGAGAUGUGAACCAGUCUAGGCAUCUCAAGGGCCUGAGUGGUCUCUGCAUUAGAACAUAAGGUGUACAAUUAUGAACAGUGGUCUCCAAGAAUGUAUAUAAGUGUAACUAAUCAUGGAUUCAUUUCUUCUUUUGUUCAUUUAUUCACCAAAUGAAACACACAAAACUGAUUGGUCUGUCAAUAUCCCUACUUCAGCCAAAAUGGCAAGCACCAAGGCAACUGAGAACAAAAGGAUUUUGUGGAAAUGCUUGACCGUGGGAGCCAUACCUUACCAGGCUAUAAGUGGAUAAUUUAAAAAUAAAUUA